CCUCUCAGAUUUGACUUGCAGGUGAGGCUCUUAUUGGGCUUUGAUUUCGCUGCUCCAGAUCGAAGCUCCCGGCGUUGGCGGCCGCGGUGCGCUGGGUGUUGCAGAUCAGAGUUCAAAGGCAUAGCCAUGGAGCAUAUCAAGCAUAAGUGCAGGUUAGUGACGCGCUUGUUCCUCUCCCUAUUUUUUUAUGCUCAAGUACUCAGAUUUAGUAAAUUAAUUUAGUCUCAUGUGCAUGUGUGUGUACUGAACCAAUUCCUCUCGUGCAAGAUGUGGGUGUACUAAUGUUGUACAAUAUCUUGUCUCCUUUUAUUAUACUUGCUUAAGGCACUAUCCAUGCUUUCUUGUACUGUUGAUUUUAAGAUCUGUGAUAGUUGAUACUACUGGAAUGAUUUAGCUUUUGUGUGCAUCCGUGAAGAACUAGUGAGGAAUAUUGUGGGUGCAUCUGGGUUGGGCUUCUUUGUGAGUGUGAGUGCUAUAGGAAUGACAGAAGAACUCACCUUUCUUCUUUUGCCUUCUCUGCUGUUUCUUCUAGUGUUGCUCCUACUUCCAGAUCCCAGUCCAGUUGGCUAAGUUCUUGUUCUAGCCUUCCUCCUUCGAUCUACUAUGAUUUCUCAGGUCACCAUCUCUACUUAUUGUUCUUGGAUCUUUGUUGGUUGCAGAUAGAAAGACUAAGACAGUGGGAGGAAGACAAGUUGCUGGUUUGGCUUUUUGGGGAAGAAUGGAGACGACGUGUGAAGUCUUGGCAAUGGCUUGCUCUGCUCUCUCUCCUUUUAAUAUCAGAAAACCCUCUUCCUUGGCUGGUAUGGCUGCCCAUCCCUUCUUUACCGUGUUGCCUUUGUGGAGCCUUUCUAUUGGCUAGGAGUUGCAGCCCAUGCCUAGACCAACUGUUGGUCAAUUGACUACUGAUAUACAUAUUAUGCACGUGAUGGUGGUGGUCAAAUGUGUAUCUCAAAUGUGUCUUGCUGUCUUGGUUGACCCAGAGAUAUUUUUUUGUUGGUCUAAGUUUGGUGUGGCAUUGUUGUAUAGCUUAGCAUAGUCUGGUCUCCCUAUAUAUUUUUUUGUUUCCAAAGAUUUGUAAUAUAACUGUACAACUGUACUGUUUGAGAUGUGUGAAUAUAAAUAUAUAUUUGAGUGGUUAUGCUUGUUGAAGAAAUCUGAAAUGUAUUUUUUUAGGAUGCUUAAUAAAUUGUACUUAAUUAUCUAAUUAAGGGUGGAAUUACUAUAUGACAAAAAUACGGGUCGUUACAUCCUACCCUCCUUAGAAAAAGAUUUCGUCCUCGAAAUCAAAACCUACAUGAAAAGAUUUGAGUAGGUCGCUCGUAGGUCUUUCUCCUUCUCCCACAUUGCCUCACAGACUGAGUGGCCCUUUAAUUAAACCUUGAAGAAUCGAAUUGUUCUUGUCCUGAGCUUGCAGUUUUCAACUUGUAGUAUCUUCAAUGGUCGUUCUUCAUAGGUCGGGCCUGGUUGCAAUUCAAUUUCCAAGUGUGACACUUGUGGUGGUGGCUUGUUGCAUUUCCUAGGUUGAGAUAUGUGGAAGAUACCAUGAAUCCUUGAUAGGUGUUGUCGUAAUUCCAACUUAUAAGCAGAUUUCCCCUCCUCUAAAAUUUUAAAGGGCCCAACAUAUCUAGGACUUAGCUUCCCUUUGAUUCCAAAGCGUCGAACCCCUCUCAUUGGUAAUACUUUUAUACACACCUUUAUGUUCAUAAUCUACUAUCACUCCAUUAGCAGCCAAGCAAUCCAUCCCAAGGAUUAUUUCUAACCCUGACAUCUCUAUGACAUGCAGGUUUGCUAAAAAAUUGGUGUUCUGGAUUGUUAUUGGUUGAUUUCUGCACAUUGCCUCUACUGUAAUCUUCCCUCCAGGUGAGUUAACUCCUAAAGCUUUUUCCAACGGUGUGCAUGUUAAUCCAUUCUUAUUCACGAAAUCUUGAGAAAUAAACAAGUGAGCGGCACCGGUAUCAAAAAGAAUUGUACCAACUGAAGGAGGAAUGAGUAGUUUACCGAUGACAACAUCUGUAGCUUCUUCUAGUUGCUCUGCAGCCAUAUAAUUCAGCCUUGGCUGUCCUCCUACUUGUCCUCCAUGCCCAACUCCUCUUGCUGCAUAGCUCAUAGGUCCGCCUUGUCCUCGCCCAGCUGGUGGACGAUGCACUUGAGUCUGCUGCAUAGGUGGCCUUGUAGGAUUUGCGGGAGGAGAGGUGCAAUUGAGCUUGUGGUGUCCUGGUCUCCCACAAUUGAAGCAAAGUCCUAUACCGGUCAUACAAUCACGAGUAGCAUGACCCUUUCCACACUUCCCACAUUUAGGAACAAAGGUUGGCUGAGUAGGGAAUCUAGGCCGUGGUGGUGGCAUAUGAGGACGCACUGGUCCAUGCAUCAUAAGACGUGGGUGCUGCAUCAUGGGGUGUGGAUCUACCCUAGCUUUCUUCCUUCUCUCUUCACUUAGGUUGGCAUGUUCAUUCUUCAGUACGAAGGCCUUGUUGACAAGGUCUUGAAACUGGGUGAUCCCGUGAAUUGAGAGGUGCAUUUUCAGGAAUGGAUGUAGCCCCUCCAUAAACUUUUCCACCUUCUUGGCUUCUGUGUUCACAUCAUCUGGAGCAUACCUUGCCAAAUCAUUAAAUUGGUUUAGGUAGUCGUUUAUCCUCUUGCUACCUUGAGUUAGAUUGCGAAACUCCCUCUUUUUGAUAUCCAUCUUUCCCUUUGGAAUAUGGGUUUGACAGAAAUUCUUCUUGAAGUCCUCCCAUGUGAUAGGCUGAUUAUUUGCUCGGUUAAGGCUGAAAUUUCUCCACCAAGCUGCUGCUGGUCCGGUUAACUGGUGCGAUGCAUAUCUCACCUUCUCUUCAUUUGAGCACCCUACGGUUUCUAGAUUAUGUUCUACUUCUAAUAGCCAGCCAUCCGCCUCUAGUGGAUCCACCGCCUUGGAGAAUGUGGGUGGCUGGGUUUUCAAAAAUUCUCCCAAGCUAACUCCCACACCGGGUAGGUGUGCUCCUCCAGGAACUAGUCUUGUCAGUAUCGCUUCGAGCAAGCGGUUCUCGUUAUCUUGGGACUCCCUUCGAGAAUUCUCCAUGAACUUAAGGACAUCUCCCAGAUUGCCUUCUUCACCCAUAAGUCCAGAAGUUCCAGCAUUGCCAACUUUUGGGUUGCUUGGAAGUUGCACCGGUCUAGGUAGAACACUUUGAUCUUCUGAAGCUGGAGUACCCCCAUGCUGAUCAUGGGCGCUUGAUCCCAAACGAAAGAUAAGGUCUUGCUCACUCAAACCAUUGUUAUUCAUCCUGCAUUUUUUUUGUUGGUUACUUAUUUGCAUGAUUAUUGAUUCAAUCAGCAAGCAGAAGUGCAAGUGAUAUCAAUAAAUAGCAUGCUAUCCUUAAUUUGUAGUAACCAGACAUGGAGUGCAAUCCUGCUGGCAAUUGCCUCUUACUAACCAGAAUGAUACAACUCUAAUUACUCAUGUGUCUCUCAUAGGACAAUGGCAAACCUAUUACUUCUGUCUCGUAGGAUUAUGUCCUCCUCUGUCUUACUCACUAAAGCACACAAUAGUAAGGUACUACGAGCCUCCUAAUGCACAUAAGUUAUAUACUACAGAACAAGCACUUAUAUUACAACCAAUACGUCACAUAAGUCUUAAUUAAGGGCAUAACUGCAUUACAACUAGGGUUCAGAUCCUACUAGUACAUAGGGGACAAACUCUGCCUUCCAGUUCACACAUACCUUACAUAAACCCACAUGUUCAGGCUGCCACUACACUAACUACCGCUGAUCCCAAAAGACUAGUCUAUGGCCAAGGUGUCCCACGCCUAAGAGUCUGGCAGAUUGGAACUUGAUUAAGCGAUGCCGCUACCACUGCCAUUGUUGCUACCGCUGCCACGCCAUUGUUGCUACCGCUGCCUAUGUUUUAAAGGCGUCCGUAAGGCGACGCCUAGGCGACGCCUAGGCAUCGAGGCGCCCCCCCAGCGCUUUGCGCUUUAGGCGCCUAGGCGUCCGCUUUAGGCGCCUAGGCGUCGCCUAGGCGCCGAAGCGCCCCCCCAGCGCCUUAAAGCAAGGCGUCGCCUUUAAAACAUAGACCGCUGCCACUUCCAUUACUUCCGUCGCUGCCACUCGCGCCAAGCCCAAGUACCCUUGCAUAGGUAGCAGCCUCCUUGUACUCCCUCGAGCUGACACUCAUGUGUGGGUGGAUAAAGUCAGGUUGGUGUAGUCGUGGAAUAGGGAAGUGGUGUAGCUGUUGCUGCUCUAUAUUUGGCUGUAGGGCUGGUUCUAGUUCAGCUAUAUGUUUAGGUAAUGGCUGGGGUGGUGUAGGUGGUACGUUUGGUGAGGUGGAAUUAAUUAGUGGUGCAAUAUAGCAAGUAUGGGUUCAACCUAAACUAUUACAACCGUCUCUAACUAUCUGCGUGGCCCUCGAAACCAUGGCUCUGAUACCACCUGUGAAGACCCAUGUCAUUAUUAUUAUAGAUAAUGACACUAGUCCUUGGAUUAUUUCUUGACAAAAUAUUGUUUUGUCAAAUAAUAAUCCAUGUCAGAGAUAUGCAGCAGGGAAAUAGUUAUAGAUGGUCCUUUAUAUUACAAUACCAUGCCACGCAGGGCUAAAAGUCUCAAGUAGGCUUCUCACAUGUUCGCCAAAUUAUUACAUCUCCUAACACCGGAGUUCCAACUAGAAGUACCAGAUAGAUGAUGAUAAAAUAGUUCCUGGAUUACAUAGCUAGGUCAUAGUUACUUAUUCAUCCCAACCCCCAUAUGUGGCAUCCAGAUCGUACAUAGCACUAGAUGGAUCCACGUCUAGGUCCCCUGUGUAGUUGUAGCCAUCACCAUUGCUCUCCUCACUUGGUGCAGUAGGAUUCUCAUACAAGCUUUGCUCUAUGAAAAAGAUGAUUAAUAGCAAGAGUGAGUACUUUGUACUCAGCAAGCUCAAAAAGCAAAAUGCAACACUCAUGAUAGCUCAAUAUAAAUCAACAAGUCCUACCUCAACUCAACAUCUUUCAAAAUAAACAUUUGUUGCGGAAGUUCAUUUCAAUUUAUAAAAGCUAUCAAACACUCGUAUUGCGAGAUAGACCACUAAUAGGUCCUCGUAGUCUCCAAUCCAAGAGACUGGCAUGAAUUCAUGUUUUUCUUUAACUCUGCAGAGUUUGUAUCACUUUACCCAUAGAGCUCGAAACCAUAAUUGCCAUAUGCAUUUCCUUAGAUGCGAGACAUGGUUAGAACCUAAGCUUUUUCCCAUUGUGUAUAUUAUAUCUCCACCCAGCUAGUGUCACUAGCUGUUGUGUCGGGUUUCGGAACCCGCACUCCACCAACGCUUAAUAUAUAGCGCUUGCUAAUGCACCCAUCCGGCAUUAGCUUGGGACUCAUCGCUCAUCCUACUACUACUUACCCAUGUGGAGAGUAUAAUAACUUGAUGGUAUUGGGCUCAACCCGUCAUAGACGAGACCAUGGUUGAUAUGGUUGUACGACGCAUAAAACGAGUGAAAGUUAUUUAAUAUUAAUAUCAUAGCCAUAUGUAGAGGGCCCCACCUUCUAGUAUAUCCAUUCCGGGCACCCUCUACCCACCAAAUAAUUAUAAAAAAAUGGAUUAGCUGCUCCAUCAGCUAACCCAACUAUUUGCCAACACUCACUCCACACAACUUAUCUCAAAAACAUUUUAUGCAAGCCAAUGAUAAGAUACAACAACAACAACAACAACAAAGCCUUUAGUCCCAAACAAGUUGGGGUAGGCUAGAGGUGAAACCCAUAAGAUCUCGCAACCAACUCAUGGCUCUGGCACAUGGAUAGCAAGCUUCCACGCACCCCUGUCCAUAGCUAGCUCUUUGUCGAUACUCCAAUCCUUCAGGUCUCUCUUAACGGACUCCUCCCAUGUCAAAAUCGGUCGACCCCGCCCUCUCUUAACAUUCUCCGCACGCUUUAGCCGUCCGCUAUGCACUGGAGCUUCUGGAGGCCUGUGCUGAAUAUGCCCAAACCAUCUCAAACAAUGUUGGACAAGCUUCUCCUCAAUUGGUGCUACCCCAACUCUAUCUCGUAUAUCAUCAUUCCGGACUCGAUCCUUCCUCGUGUGGCCACACAUCCAUCUCAACAUACGCAUCUCCGCCACACCUAACUGUUGAACAUGUCGCCUUUUAGUCGGCCAACACUCCGCGCCAUACAACAUUGCGGGUCGAACCGCCGUCCUGUAGAACUUGCCUUUUAGCUUUUGUGGCACUCUCUUGUCACAGAGAAUGCCAGAAGCUUGGCGCCACUUCAUCCAUCCGGCUUUGAUUCGAUGGUUCACAUCUUCAUCAAUACCCCCAUCCUCCUGCAACAUUGACCCCAAAUACCGAAAGGUGUCCUUCUGAGGUACCACCUGGCCAUCAAGGCUAACCUCCUCCUCCUCACAGCUAGUAGUACUGAAACCGCACAUCAUGUACUCGGUUUUAGUUCUACUAAGCCUAAACCCUUUCGAUUCCAAUGUUUGUCUCCAUAACUCUAACUUCCUAUUUACCCCCGUCCGACUAUCGUCAACUAGCACCACAUCAUCCGCAAAGAGCAUACACCAUGGGAUAUCUCCUUGUAUACCCCUUGUGACCUCAUCCAUCACCAAUGCAAAAAGAUAAGGGCUCAAAGCUGACCCCUGAUGCAGUCCUAUCUUAAUCGGGAAGUCAUCGGUGUCGACAUCACUUGUUCGAACACUUGUCACAACAUUAUUGUACAUGUCCUUGAUGAGGGUAAUGUACUUUGCUGGGACUUUGUGUUUCUUUAAGGCCCACCACAUGACAUUCCGCGGUAUCUUAUCAUAGGCCUUCUCCAAGUCAAUAAACACCAUAUGCAAGUCCUUAUGCUCCCUAUAUCUCUCCAUAAGUUGUCGUACCAAGAAAAUGGCUUCCAUGGUCGACCUCCCAGGCAUGAAACCAAACUGAUUUUUGGUCACGCUUGUCAUUCUUCUUAAGCGGUGCUCAAUGACUCUCUCCCAUAGCUUCAUUGUAUGGCUCAUCAGCUUAAUUCCACGGUAGUUAGUACAACUCUGAACAUCCCCCUUGUUCUUGAAGAUUGGUACUAAUAUACUCCGUCUCCAUUCUUCUGGCACCUUGUUUGCCCGAAAAAUGAGGUUGAAAAGCUUGGUUAGCCAUACUAUCGCUAUGUCCCCGAGACCUUUCCACACCUCAAUGGGGAUACAAUCAGGGCCCAUCGCCUUGCCUCCUUUCAUCCUUUUUAAAGUCUCCUUCACCUCAGACUCCUGGAUGCGCCGCACAAAACGCAUGCUGGUCUCAUCAAAGGAGUCAUUCAGUUCAAUGGUAGAACUCUCAUUCUCCCCAUUGAACAGCUUGUCGAAGUACUCCCGCCAUCUAUGCUUAAUCUCUUCGUCCUUCACCAAGAGUUGGCCUGCUCCGUCCUUGAUGCAUUUGACUUGGCCAAUAUCCCUCGUCUUCCUCUCCCGGAUCUUAGCCAUCUUAUAGAUGUCCCUUUCACCUUCCUUCGUGCCUAACCGUUGGUAGAGGUCCUCAUAUGCCCGACCCCUUGCUUCACCAACAGCUCGCUUUGCGGCCUUCUUCGCCAUCUUGUACUUCUCUAUGUUGUCUGCACUCCUAUCCAGGUAUAGGCGUCUGAAGCAAUCUUUCUUCUCUUUAAGCGCCUUCUGGACAUCAUCAUUCCACCACCAGGUAUCCUUAUCUUCCCUUCUCCUUCCCCUGGACACUCCAAACUCCUCCGAGGCCACCUUACGAAUGCAAGUCGCCAUCUUCAUCCACACAUUGUCCGCAUCCCCUCCUUCCUCCCAAGGGCCCUCCUUAAAUACCCUCUCCUUGAACACCUGAGCUACCUCCCCCUUGAGCUUCCACCACUUCGUUCUAGCGACCUUGGCACGCUUAUUCCGCUGGACACGAAUCCAAAAGCGGAAGUCAACAACCACCAGCUUAUGCUGGGGUACAACACUCUUCCCAGGUAUCACCUUACAGUCUAGGCACGCACGCCUAUCUUCUCUUCUCGAGAGGAUGAAAUCAAUCUGGCUAGAGUGUUGGCCACUACUAAAAGUCACCAGAUGUGAUUCUCUCUUUCUAAAGAGGGUGUUAGCUACAAUCAUGUUGUAGGCUAGAGCAAAGCUUAAGACAUCUUCUCCUUCUUGAUUCCUGAUGCCAUAGCCAAAGCCCCCAUGCGCCCCUUCAAAACCUGUGUUAGAUGUACCCACGUGGCCAUUGAGGUCUCCUCCUAUGAAGAGCUUCUCACCAAUCGGUACACUCCUAACCAUGUCUUCCAAGCCUUCCCAGAACUCCCUCUUGGUGUUCUCAUUGUGGCCUACUUGCGGGGCAUAUGCGCUGAUAACAUUGAGAACCAAGUCCUCAGCUACCAGCUUGACCAGGAUAAUCCGGUCCCCACGUCUCCUGACGUCUACCAGUCCAUACUUGAGGCUCUUGUUGAUCAAGAUGCCUACGCCAUUUCUGUUUGCAGCCGUCCCCGUGUACCACAGCUUGAAGCCGGUAUCCUCCACCUCCUUCGCCUUCUGUCCUCUCCAUUUGGUUUCUUGGACGCAAAGGAUAUCAACACCUCUCCUCACUGCUGCAUCAACUAGCUCCCGAAGCUUCCCUGUCAGAGACCCUACGUUCCAGCUACCUAAGCAAAUCCUCCUAGGCUCGGCUAGCUUCCUUACCCUUCGCACUCGUCGAGUCAAAUGCGAAGACCCUUGCUCAUUUUCCACUACAUCCGGGCGCCGAUGUAGCGCGCCACUAAGGAUGCGACGACCUGAUCCUCGCUCACUUGCCACCGUAUCUGGAUCAAGAUACGGCGCGCCACUUGGGGGGUGACGGCCCGGCCCUUGCCCAUUUUCCACCACACCGGGUUCCGAUGUGGCGCGUCGCUGAGAGGGUUACGCCCCAACGAAAAUUUUUGGGUUUCAUCUCCAUAAGGGUGGCUGAGUUUUUACGUUGGCUCGCCAAGCCUAUCACAACCCUCCUCCUUUACCCGGGCUUGGGACCGGUUAUGUUGAGACAACAUAGGCGGAGUCAACGAUAAGAUACAUCAGAGAUUUUUUUUUGAAAAUAGUUCUAGUCAGCAUGAUCAAGAAGAGCUUGCGUGAGUUGUCGUACUCAGACCCGGACUCGAUUUGCUUUUGUAGCGCCUCCUUCUUUGGACUGUACUCGCUUCCUGCGGUUCGGCAAAUAUAUAUAUUUCGAGACUAAGUCGAGUGAAUACGAGGGAAAUAAAAAUAUACGUCGGUGAAGUGUGGUCAUCCUACAGUCAAACAUUAUUAUUUCUUUUAUUACCUAGUAUUCUUUUUACUAAGCUUGCAUUAGUAGGUGGAUUUAGAAUAGAUAAUUAUUAGAUGUGCACCUGAUAAUUACUAGACCACAAUUCUACACGUGCCCUCUCCCUUUCUCAAUUUCCAAGUCUCUCUCUCCUGUACUAGUCCUCCACCGAACACAACACACACCAGUACUAGUCCACCAAGAACAGAACACACGUACAUGUCUUCUCUCCCUCCUAUUCCUCUGCUCCUAAACUAGCCAGACCGGCCAUGCCGCCGGUGACGGGGAAACAUGCUGCUCCGCCGCUGCCGGACCUUCCACCCUCUCUCUCUCCCCUGAUCCAAAUCCCUAUUUUUUUUUUCAGGAUUCAGCCCCAAACUCUCUAAUCCCCUCUCAGAUUUGACUUGCAGGUGAGGCUCUUAUCGGGCUUUGAUUUCGCUGCUCCAGAUCGAAGCUCCCGGCGUUGGCGGCCGCGGUGCGCUGGGUGUUGCAGAUCAGAGUUCAAAGGCAUAGCCAUGGAGCAUAUCGAGCAUAAGUGCAGGUUAGUGAUGCGCUUGUUCCUCUCCCUAUUUUUUUAUGCUCAAGUACUCAGAUUUAGUAAAUUAAUCUAGUCUCAUGUGCAUGUGUGUGUACUGAACCAAUUUCUCUUGUGCAAGAUGUGGGUGUACUAAUGUUGUACAAUAUCUUGUCUCCUUUUAUUAUACUUGCUUAAGGCACUAUCCAUGCUUUCUUGUACUGUUGAUUUUAAGAUCUGUGAUAGUUGAUACUACUGGAAUGAUUUAGCUUUUGUGUGCAUCUGUGAAGAACUAGUGAGGAAUAUUGUGGGUGCAUCUGGGUUGGGCUUCUUUGUGAGUGUGAGUGCUAAAGGAAUGACAGAAGAACUCACCUUUCUUCUUUUGCCUUCUCUGCUGUUUCUUCUAGUGCUGCUCCUACUUCCAGAUCCCAGUCUAGUUGGCUAACUUCUUGUUCUAGCCUUCCUCCUUUGAUCUACUAUGAUUUCUCAGGUCACCAUCUCUACUUAUUGUUCUUGGAUCUUUGUUGGUUGCAGAUAGAAAGACUAAGACAGUGGGAGGAAGACAAGUUGCUGGUUUGGCUUUUUGGGGAAGAAUGGAGACGACGUGUGAAGUCUUGGCAAUGGCUUGCUCUGCUCUCUCUCCUUUUAAUAUCAGAAAACCCUCUUCCUUGGCUGGUAUGGCUGCCCAUCCCUUCUUUACCGUGUUGCCUUUGUGGAGCCUUUCUAUUGGCUAGGAGUUGCAGCCCAUGCCUAGACCAACUGUUGGUCAAUUGACUACUGAUAUACAUAUUAUGCACGUGAUGGUGGUGGUCAAAUGUGUAUCUCAAAUGUGUCUUGCUGUCCUGGUUGACUCAGAGAUAUUUUUUUGUUGGUCUAAGUUUGAUGUGGCAUUGUUGUAUAGCUUAGCAUAGUCUGGUCUCCCUAUAUUUUUUUUGUUUCCAAAGAUUUGUAAUAUAACUGUACAACUAUACUGUUUGAGAUGUGUGAAUAUAAAUAUAUAUUUGAGUGGUUAUGCUUGUUGAAGAAAUCUGAAAUGUAUUUUUUUAGGAUGCUUAAUAAAUUGUACUUAAUUAUCUAAUUAAGGGUGGAAUUACUAUGUGACAAAAAUACGAGUCGUUACUGAUGGAUAAGUCUGUGUACUAGGGUCCUUGUGGGGCUGCAGCACAUGGUCCUUGUGGCAGUUAGGAGGAUAAAGUCCUGGACCAUCAAGGACUGGCUGUUAGGAUAGAGUUCUGUUCUUGACCAUCAAGGACUGUCAGUU
rnacentral:lncRNA from 1 species